CCUACGGGAGGCAGCAGUGGGGAAUAUUGCACAAUGGGGGAAACCCUGAUGCAGCGACGCCGCGUGAGCGAUGAAGUAUUUCGGUAUGUAAAGCUCUAUCAGCAGGGAAGAAGAUGACGGUCCCUGACUAAGAAGCCCCGGCUAACUACGUGCAAGCAGCAGCGGUAAUACGUAGGGGGCAAGCGUUAUCCGGAUUUACUGGGUGUAAAGGGAGCGUAGACGGCGAUGCAAGCCAGAUGUGAAAGCCCGGGGCUCAACCCCGGGACUGCAUUUGGAACUGUGUGGCUGGAGUGUCGGAGAGGCAGGCGGAAUGCCUAGUGUAGCGGUGAAAUGCGUAGAUAUUAGGAGGAACACCAGGGGCGAAGGCGGCCUGCUGGACGAUGACUGACGUUGAGGCUCGAAAGCGUGGGGAGCAAACAGGAUUAGAUACCCCUGUAGUC
rnacentral:rRNA from 1 species